GUCGUAGCUCAGUUGGUUAGAGCGUCGGAUUGUGGUUCCGAAGGUCGCGGGUUCGAGCCCCGUCUUC
rnacentral:tRNA from 1 species